rnacentral:ncRNA from 2 species
AUAAAAACUAAAUGUAUCCUUCAUAUAUCCUCGAUAAUAUGGUUCGAAAGUUUCUACCAGAUCACCGUAAAUGAUUUGACUAUGAAGGCAGAUGAUUCUAUU